GACCUAACCCUUACGAAGUAAUUUGUAAGGUAUGGUCAGAAAUCGUUCAGCACAUAAAACCCAUCAUCAGGACGUGCUGAACGUUAUGUCGGGAAACUGGCAUAGGAGUCGCAAGACUCC
rnacentral:sRNA from 1 species